GACACAGACCCAUAUCCUGAAAUUUGAGAGCCCUCUUGUAAGGCUGGCUGACACCUCAGAUCUUUUAUCUCAGACACUGCUUCAAGUAUUUCCCUUACAGAGGCUCUGGGUCUUGUUCAGGUCCCUUUGGAACAUGGCUGCUGCGCAUAAUGCUGGUGAGGGAGGCUAGUCAGAAAGAGCUUCAAGAGCUCAUUGAGUUACCAGUGUUCACAUGGGGUUCUUGUCAGUCUCAAGGAUAAGAAAAGGUAAGGCUGAAAGGCCAGGUCAAAAGAAAAAGGAGAUAGAUGCUGCAGCUAUCAGCAUGGGAUGGGGCCCUGCUGCUUGUACCAUGCUACAAGGAGAUCAUCUGGCUGGCACACCAAUCUGCGGUAUUUCUUUGCCAUUCCUUUUAAUGCCUGAAAUUCACAUAACCUGUGACCACUUGUCUUUAUUGCCAGAAAAAACGUCUUUCUGUCUUGCAUCGUCUAAAACAGCCUAUUAUUUUUCAGUUCCUGUCUCUGGAGGCAUUGUCUAUAGUGAAUGACCCACUGCUUGUUUCUGCAGAACACCACAGGGAAGAGGGCCAAGGAUACCUCAGUGUUUACGUACCGAGAUGUAAUGGCCUCGUGUUGCCUGCAGAUAUAUCCAUAUCAGUUCAAGUCCAAGGCAUCAGUUAGUACAAAGCCAGUGUGGCCAGGCUGGAUCUCUUGGGAAGAUUCAAGGAGACAAAGAAAGAAGGCCUGUACCAAGUUUAAGGAAAUAAAGAAGAAAGGUUAUUUCAGCCUUCUGUGGUUCACCACAUCUGGCAAAUUAAUUUCAAAACAUUACAGUAUUCAGAACUACUAGACGUGUCUGAAGACUUGUGUCCUGGUCAUUUACCUGAGCCUGCCAUGGGAAG